GAUGAACGCUGGCGGCGUGCCUAAUACAUGCAAGUCGAGCGAGUGGAUUAAGAGCUUGCUCUUAUGAAGUUAGCGGCGGACGGGUGAGUAACACGUGAGUAACCUGCCCAUAAGACUGGGAUAACUCCGGGAAACCGGGGCUAAUACCGGAUAAUAUUUUGAACUGCAUGGUUCAAAAUUGAAAGGCGGCUUCGGCUGUCACUUAUGGAUGGACCCGCGUCGCAUUAGCUAGUUGGUGAGGUAACGGCUCACCAAGGCAACGAUGCGUAGCCGGCCUGGGAGGGGGGUCGGCCACACUGGGACUGGGCAACGGCCCAGACUCCUACGGGAGGCAGCAGUAGGGAAUCUUCCGCAAUGGACGAAAGUCUGACGGAGCAACGCCGCGUGAGUGAUGAAGGCUUUCGGGUCGUAAAACUCUGUUGUUAGGGAAGAACAAGUGCUAGUUGAAUAAGCUGGCACCUUGACGGUACCUAACCAGAAAGCCACGGCUAACUACGUGCCAGCAGCCGCCGUAA
rnacentral:rRNA from 1 species